rnacentral:tRNA from 11 species
GGCCGGAUGGCGCAAUGGUAGCGCGUUGGUUUUCGGCACCAAAGGUUGCGCGUUCGAAUCGCGUUUCGGUCG